rnacentral:rRNA from 1 species
GGGAUAAGUGAAUAUUAUUGGCUGGUUUGCAGUUAAAAGUUUUUAUUUAUUAAAGUUUUUAUUUUUGGGUGAAAUCUCUAAAUUUUUUAUUAAUUAUAUUUAUUGAAGCUGUGAAACUUAAUUUUAAAACAAGGAUUAGAUACCCUUUUAUCUUAAGUGUUAAAAUUAGCCUGGGUAGUAAUAGUUAUGUUCUUGAAACCCAAAGAAUUUGGCGGUAUUUUAGUCCUUUCAGAGGAAUCUGUCCCGUAAUCGACAGCCCACGAGAAGAUUUACCUGUUCUUGUUUUCAGUUUGUAUACCUCCGUCAUCAGAGAAUCUUUUUAGAGAAGAAUUUUCUUAAUAUAAUGAAUAUAGGAUGUCAGGUCAAGGUGCAAUUUAUGGACAGGUGGCGAUGGAUUACAAUAAAUUAUUUAUAUGGAUUGACUUAUUUAAUUUGUCAUGAAGGUGGAUUUGAUAGUAAUAUUAAUUUUUUGUUGAUUUGAUUUUGGCUCUAAAAUAUGCACACAUCGCCCGUCGCUCUCAUUUUUAAAAUGAGAUAAGUCGUAACAUAGAGGUGUAUCGGAAGAUGUACCUGGUUAG